rnacentral:rRNA from 1 species
UACGGAGGGGACUAGCGUUGUUCGGAAUUACUGGGCGUAAAGCGCACGUAGGCGGAUUUGUAAGUCAGGGGUGAAAUCCUGGAGCUCAACUCCAGAACUGCCUUCGAUACUGGAAAGCUCGAGUCCGGGAGAGGUGAGUGGAACUGCGAGUGUAGAGGUGAAAUUCGUAGAUAUUCGCAAGAACACCAGUGGCGAAGGCGGCUAACUGGUCCGGUUCUGACGCUGAGGCGCGAAAGCGUGGGAGCAACAGG